GGAGAACAUCACCUAUAGAUGGUGGAGUCCAUGGGGGCUGAACUACAAAGCACCUGGGUCUGCCUGGGUUUUGAUGGACCACCUAGGGGUGACCUAGAGCCCAGCCUGGGAAGAAGCAUGAGUGACAUUGACACCUCUAGGAGGUGUCUGCACCAGAAGGCGAUGAUGGAAGUGAAUGCCCCUGGGGUUGACUGGACUUGAUGAAGAGAAUCUCUGCCGCCCUGGUGGCUUCCUGUGGCUAACUGCUUCACCCCUGUUAUCCCAUUCAGUCCUCACAGCAAUUAAAGAGUUGAAUCCUGUGUCCCUAUUACAAAUGUGUCUUUUUUUGAAACAGAAAAGAUAAGCAAGUAGCCCCCUCACGUAGCUCCUGCCUCCAGUACGGAGUGAAGCCUGGGCUUCUGUGGCUCUAAAAUGCACCCCCUUCACACACCUGUGUUUGGAAGAGAUUCCUUUUUUCCUGGAAACUCUGUGAACCUGCAAACUCAUCUGAAACUCUGUACCUAAGUGGACUUUGGUGAGAGAUCAGCCUGUGCCUCUUCCCAUAACUCCCAUUCUGGGUCUCAGCCAGACCACAAAGCAUCAAUUUCUGAAACAGGAUGUGAGUUGGCCUGCCUGGGGUGCACGGCCAUCCCUUACCGGUCAAAUUUCUCUCCCAGACUGGAGCUUCUGAAGGACAUGGUGCUCUGUCACUUAAACACUAGUUCCCGCCAAGCACCUGCACAUGACUGACUGAAUCACUGGUAAAGAAGACCAAGGAAUCUUCUCUGAACAACUUAGCCCUAUGAGAGGACAUUUGUAAUGGCACGUUACAGCUAAGGCGGUGGCUUCAUCCCUUGGAAGUUAAUGUCCCUCAUCCAGAGCAGACUUUGCCUGGAGGACCUCAGGUUCAUUGGGGCACCUGAACUACCAAGCUGUUAACCAGUGGGUGAUUAAAAAGUAG
rnacentral:lncRNA from 1 species